UACGAAGGGGGCUAGCGUUGCUCGGAAUCACUGGGCGUAAAGCGCACGUAGGCGGAUUCUUAAGUCAGGGGUGAAAUCCCGAGGCUCAACCUCGGAACUGCCUUUGAUACUGGGAAUCUUGAGUAUGGUAGAGGUUGGUGGAACAGCAAGUGUAGAGGUGAAAUUCGUAGAUAUUUGCUAGAACACCAGUGGCGAAGGCGGCCAACUGGACCAUAACUGACGCUGAGGUGCGAAAGCGUGGGGAGCAAACAGG
rnacentral:rRNA from 1 species